UGAGGAAUAUUGGUCAAUGGGCGGAAGCCUGAACCAGCCAUGCCGCGUGCAGGAAGGAGGCCCUACGGGUUGUAAACUGCUUUUACCCGGGAAGAAACCGCCCCCUGUGGGGGGCGUUGCCGGUACCGGGGGAAAAAGGAUCGGCUAACUCCGUGCCAGCAGCCGCGGUAAUACGGAGGAUCCGGGCGUUAUCCGGAAUUACUGGGUUUCAAGGGUGCGUUGGCGGGGCUUUAAGCCGGCGGUGAAAUGCAGGGGC
rnacentral:rRNA from 1 species